rnacentral:rRNA from 1 species
UUUAAUUCGAAGCAACGCGAAGAACCUUACCAAAUCUUGACAUCCUUUGACAACUCUAGAGAUAGAGCCUUCCCCUUCGGGGGACAAAGUGACAGGUGGUGCAUGGUUGUCGUCAGCUCGUGUCGUGAGAUGUUGGGUUAAGUCCCGCAACGAGCGCAACCCUUAAGCUUAGUUGCCAUCAUUAAGUUGGGCACUCUAAGUUGACUGCCGGUGACAAACCGGAGGAAGGUGGGGAUGACGUCAAAUCAUCAUGCCCCUUAUGAUUUGGGCUACACACGUGCUACAAUGGACAAUACAAAGGGCAGCGAAACCGCGAGGUCAAGCAAAUCCCAUAAAGUUGUUCUCAGUUCGGAUUGUAGUCUGCAACUCGACUACAUGAAGCUGGAAUCGCUAGUAAUCGUAGAUCAGCAUGCUA